rnacentral:RNase_P_RNA from 2 species
CCAGCUCGAAGGCCACGAUGCUCACUACGCACGGGAUGCCCUUACAUCCAAUCUCGUGGGCGGGUCAAGGUCUGAGUGUCAUACCCCCUCCAUCGGCUCUCGCAGGGCCCAGUCAUAAUUGACUGAUCGACAUACUUGAGGAACAGAUUCUCUCCCUCUGCCCCAGAUCCUGUGACGCGCAGGCGAGGCAUGGAGAGGGUGGUUUUGAAAGUUGUCGCGGAGGCUGGGAAAGUUUUUGCUUCAUGAGGUCCGUUGGGGAUCUACCUUUAUCUCGCCAAGUGUCCCUCGUAGUGGAUGCCUUUAGCGUGGGCUGGCCUGUGGCCAAGAUUUCACUUGGUGCCAGCUGUCUCUCGGGGCAGGAUAUCAGACAGGUUGCACAGCCGGCAGUCUGCUGCCCGCGGUCGUCACCCGUGGAUCCGGGGCUGUCUGCUGCGCUUCAUCACACACAUCGGUGCUCCGAAGAGCCUGCUGCAUCCGUUGUCAAGGUGUUUCUUUGGUGCAGAGCCACUGCCAUCGCGCGAAAAGAAUGGCUUUCUAGCCAGAGCUCACGCAAUUUUGUGUGACGGGAAAAGAAGCACGCUCCUUGCGAACGAGAAGGUGACCGUAUACGUCCUCUAGGCACCCUUGUCCUCCAGUUCGCUUCGUGGCUCACGUUCUCUGAUGGGCGUGAAACUCGAUUCAGGCUAUUCACGGACUGG